rnacentral:rRNA from 2 species
AACUUUCAGCAACGGAUCUCUUGGCUCUCGCAUCGAUGAAGAACGCAGCGAAAUGCGAUAAGUAAUGUGAAUUGCAGAAUUCAGUGAAUCAUCGAAUCUUUGAACGCACCUUGCGCCCUUUGGUAUUCCGAAGGGCAUGCCUGUUUGAGUGUCA